rnacentral:rRNA from 1 species
GUGGACGCCAGUCUGCAUGGAGCCGACCUUGAAAUACCACCCUUUAAUGUUUGAUGUUCUAACGUGGACCCGUGAUCCGGGUUGCGGACAGUGUCUGGUGGGUAGUUUGACUGGGGCGGUCUCCUCCUAAAGAGUAACGGAGGAGCACGAAGGUUGGCUAAUCCUGGUCGGACAUCAGGAGGUUAGUGCAAUGGCAUAAGCCAGCUUGACUGCGAGCGUGACGGCGCGAGCAGGUGCGAAAGCAGGUCAUAGUGAUCCGGUGGUUCUGAAUGGAAGGGCCAUCGCUCAACGGAUAAAAGGUACUCCGGGGAUAACAGGCUGAUACCGCCCAAGAGUUCAUAUCGACGGCGGUGUUUGGCACCUCGAUGUCGGCUCAUCACAUCCUGGGGCUGAAGUAGGUCCCAAGGGUAUGGCUGUUCGCCAUUUAAAGUGGUACGCGAGCUGGGUUUAGAACGUCGUGAGACAGUUCGGUCCCUAUCUGCCGUGGGCGCUGGAGAACUGAGGGGGGCUGCUCCUAGUACGAGAGGACCGGAGUGGACGCAUCACUGGUGUUCGGGUUGUCAUGCCAAUGGCACUGCCCGGUAGCUAAAUGCGGAAGAGAUAAGUGCUGAAAGCAUCUAAGCACGAAACUUGCCCCGAGAUGAGUUCUCCCUGAGACUUAGAGUCUCCUGAAGGAACGUUGAAGA